CUUCUUUCUCCUUUUUCUCUUUUGCAUAGCUUUAUGGCUCUCACUGAAGGUGAAACUAGGAAAAUACUUCACCCAGAGGUGAGUCUAUAGGUGAUGAACGUUAUAACAAGGCUCUAUUGUCUUUGGUGGAGGUGGGGAGCCCCGCAUGCCCUGAGCUCAGGCAUUGAGUACUGUUCUACCAAAUACUCACACACCGGGCAGGUGUUUGAGGUGGGGUGGCCCCGGGGCAGUUGCUGAACAGGGUACACAAAAGGUUAGUGAGUAUAAUUACACUUUCAUAAAAAUGAAUGUUGGACUUCCUCCCCUGCUGCGUCUUAGUUACCGGGGCUAAAAUAAAUAUUUUAAUUAGUUUCAGCUUCCAAAAGAGUCUUAGCAGGCCAGACUUCCGAAUCUGCCUCCCACGGGGAAAACGCUUUCAAAUCCCACCAGUUGGCACCAAAUCCCUCCCAAACAAAAACCCAAAACCGAAAACCACAUUUCGAACUAAACAAGUCACUGCUUCUUAGAUAGACAGCUGCAGUGUGCACUGGGAGCUCGGCGUGACACAAUCUCGAGCAAAAGCAGAACCUCCGGGUCUUUUGUCAUUUACCACGAACUGCAGGAUGUUACCACGAAAGCACCGCAGAAGUCUUAUAACCCACCACCCUUUCAUUUGACGUUUCCAGAAAAAGAUAGGUGCGCCCCAGAGAGUUUAUGGCACAUAAAUAGGUAACAAGUUCAUAGUGGAUUCACGGCAAUAAUGCGUGGGCCAGAAAUUCCAAACUGGUGAACAGCAAGCUGACUGGGGUGCACAGACAUAAAUGGUUUCUUUGGCCAGAACGGUGUUUUUCAAAGUCUAAGCGAGCUGCAACGGCACCAGCUACUUUUGUAACGGUGCACGGCUAUACCACAGGUCCCAGCUUCCCCAGCGUAGAGCAGGGACCACGAGACUGAGUUCUGCCAAUGGAACAUACGCUUCUGGGCAGUGUCAUGGCAAAUCCUUCCCCCGGUGUUCGAGCUGUAUCCGCAGCUGGACGCACGGAGGAAAACUAGCGUAGCAGAUGUAGAUCCUCAUGAAGAAGAGAGCCUUUGCCCCUGAAGGAGCUGACAGGGUCUCCACCGUGACCUGCACUGGCUGUGAUGGGAGGGAACAUCAACACCCCUGAGAUGUUGAGUUUGUGUGUGACAACCGUCUUUGUUUGGGUCCCUCUAAAAUCGGGCUAUGAGAUAUGGAUUCGUGUGCAAGUGGCUUAUUUGAAGGUGAUCCCUUGGAAACAUCAGUGGGUGCGUGGGGAGGUGGGAUGGGGAAGGAGUGGAAACCAAUGAAUGAUACAUUGUCUGUCAGCGUCUGCUGUGGGCAGCUCAGUCACACAAGGGAACGCUGGGGGAACACAGAAGACACCUCAGGGCUGUCUCAGUGGAGGGGUGAAGAGACUGGGGAUUCAUGCACUCCCCGUGUGUCUGUCAUUGGUGGGACGAUGCCUCCAAAAGCAUUAAUUCUUCAACAUUCCGGGCAUACCCUGCACAAAUGCCGAGUGCGCAUACAGUGUUUUGAGCAAGACUUAAAGUUGUGUUCAGGAGGCAGCUUCGUGGGCGGAGACAAGUGCCAAGUGGACACGAGGAGGCCACCAACAACGUCUGCUGAAAAUGUUUAGCCCACACUGACUGAUGCAGGUGCCAACAUCCGAAACUAGACGGCAACAUAAAACUCUGAAUUUCUGACCUCUCUCAAAACAUAAGCAGAUAGUCACAAGUGGGUCUGCAUUUCUGUAUGGCGGUAACUGGUUGGAGCGGAGUGGCGAUUGAUGCUUUAGAUGCAGGUAGUGUCUCUAACUUUCCACAGUCGCCACGGCACCCUACUGUCUCUUAACCGCACCCUAUUUCCCUUGUUUAUGUCGUUUUAAUGGUCCUUACAGUAGGCGUUUGAAUCUGUAACCUCCGGUGCUCUAGUACGACAAGGCUUUUGUUUCUUUGCUUCUUUUUCAUUCCAGCUGCAUUUUCCUCCCUCCCUACUCCACUUUGAAAGCUGCUCAAAAUAUGUCCCCGUGAAACCUUCCCACUGACCCCCACCUACAACACUCACGACACUUCUGUAGCCAUUUGGACCUAUAGUGUCCAAUAAGUCACUGGCUACAUGUAGCGAUUAACAUUUAAAUUCCAGCUCAUUAAAAGUAACUAACUAAGAUUAAUGAAAAUUAAACAUUCAGUCCCGUCCACUGCACUGGCCACAUUUCAAGGGAUCAAUAGUCCUACGAGGUCAGUGGCUAGCAUAUUGGACACCACAGCUAGAACACAUUUCCCUAAUUACACAAAGUUCCUUUGGAUACGCCGUUUGAUAGAAUGGGCUGUCAUUCUUGCUCUUGGCUUUUCUUGUAGGUGAUCUUGUGUUUUCCAUAAAUAUGCACCCUUUAAGAUAAAAUCCACUUCAAAAAGGAGAGAGCUUGCUCAGCAUACCACGCAUUCUUUCUCCCCCUCAAGUACCUGUACAAUUGUCCGCAGUUAACAUUGUGAAUGUUUCUCAAGUUUCUGCGUGAGGUUCUGUAUCGCGGUCCCCCGUGGUCUCAUCCGGGGAGAUACUGUGUGUUCUCCUGUCCCCUCAGGCUUAUGUGGAAAACUGGGAAAGUUGCUUCGGGUAGAAAAGACAGGAUCAGGUAUGAUUUUAACAUCAUACCCUUGCGGGAUCGGAAAGAAGCUCAUUAAGACCACUUACUGCUUUCGCCUUAAAAAAAAAAAAAAAAAAGUAUGGGUUCCAUACUGUGA